rnacentral:rRNA from 1 species
GACGAACGCUGGCGGCGUGCCUAAUACAUGCAAGUCGAGCGGAUUUUCGGAAGCUUGCUUCCGAAAAUUAGCGGCGGACGGGUGAGUAACACGUGGGCAACCUGCCUGUAAGACUGGGAUAACUUCGGGAAACCGGAGCUAAUACCGGAUACAUUCUUCCCUCGCAUGAGGGAAGAUGGAAAGACGGUUUUGCUGUCACUUACAGAUGGGCCCGCGGCGCAUUAGCUAGUUGGGGGGGGAAUGGCCCACCAAGGCGACGAUGCGUAGCCGACCUGAGAGGGUGAUCGGCCACACUGGGACUGAGACACGGCCCAGACUCCUACGGGAGGCAGCAGUAGGGAAUCUUCCGCAAUGGACGAAAGUCUGACGGAGCAACGCCGCGUGAGCGAAGAAGGCCUUCGGGUCGUAAAGCUCUGUUGUCAGGGAAGAACAAGUACCAUAGUAACUGAUGGUACCUUGACGGUACCUGACCAGAAAGCCACGGCUAACUACGUGCCAGCCGCCGCCGUAAAAC